UUUGUCUUUGCAGAGCAGAUUCCUCCACCUAAAGCAAGACACACGGAAACGAGCCGGAUUUGCUGACUACAACUACCAAGAGGAACGUGUAGCGCGCAAAGGACUGGUGAAAGCUCUUGGUUUUAUCUUGUGCCAAACCACCUGUAUGCGCAUGACUCAUCUGUGAUCAGAAGUUCCUGUGAAUGGCUGUCUCCGGUCAGUAUGCUGGGAGUUCACUCGCCGUUUGCGGUAAAAUUUGCUUAAAUGGAUACACAUCUGUCUAACUUCAUCAGCACUCCUUGGACUUGCACUAUAUGGACAAAGCACCAGCCCACCUCCACAUUACCCCUACAGGCCCGCUCAGCUGUGGAAACCCAUGUCAUGAAGCUCUUGGUGCACACUUUUUGUGCUGAUGUUAAUCCCAGAGGAGGUUUGUAACUCUGCAGUAACUGAAUCAGCAGAGCAUUGGAGACUUCUCCGCACCCUGCUUCUCAGCACUCUCUAAAUACAUGCUCUGCUACUGCGUGGCUGAGUUGUUGUAGCUCCUAAACACUUGAUAAUGCCAUUUACAGCUGAUCAUGGAGUAACUAGGAGGGGAGAAAUUUUGCUAACUAAAUUGUUCCAACAUCCUGCAUCUUAUUAGAGCAGCAUGCACAAAUUCAGUGAGAAUGACCUCUUCUUUCACAAAUGUUUGCAAAGGCAGACCACAUGGCUAGGUGCUUCAUUUUAUAAAUCUGUGGGACUGGAAGCAUCUGAAUUUAAAGAUUAUGAGGUGUGGUCCAGUACUUUUGUCUAUUCAGUCACCCACUGGGAUGCAAACUCCACGGUGGUGUUUUAAAAACCAUAAGCUCUCAACUGGAUUUGCUGAUUUGAUGGAAGUCAUUAUCUAUCCUCCAUUAGCAGCUAUUGUGGUGAUCUGAUUGAGCUCCUUAAUCUAAUUAUGAAAUUCCUGUUCUAGAUUAAAACACUCUGACCACAUAUAUUCCAGAUCAGUUCACCGCAGACGAGAACACUGUGCAGUCUGAGUCAGAGACGGUGAACCAUAAAGCUGACAGCAUUUGUGAGAAAGCCAGUGUUGUAUAGACACAAAAGCUGUCCAGCAUCCAAGGAUGCCUCCUCUGGUCCUUGCUGUUGUCACAGCAACAGAAAAUGCCCGCAUGUUGGAGAAGUGGUCCGGCUUCUUUUUCACCCAAAGCAGCUCAACAAGGCCUUCAGUUCAUCAGUGGAGUGCACACAGUUUUCUGGGCAAAUUAAGUUUGGAGUGAGUGUAAAUUAUUUCCAAAACCAGUUUCAGUAUCUCUUCCACGUGAUUUUGUUGAUUUCUGCUGAAAGUUGUGCAAUUACAAAGCUCCAAAAUACCAAUCCUCAUGUUUACUUGUCUGACUGACUGACAUGUUCUGCUCCUUGGAGGUUUCACCAGCGCUGCCGUCAAAGGAGGGGAGCCCACAGCGGCUCUCUCCCCUGGGACACCAUGAGAAUACAGACUCCAAAAAUAGAGGUAUCCUCCUCUCCUUCCAACUUUUCAGCUCUUCAGUGUGCUCCUUUAUCGGACUGAGGACACACUCACAGAUCAAGCACGCUCUCCUGCGCAGAAAUUAUCUGCAUCCUGCUGAGAAAUACUUCGGAUGGUUUUUGUCAAGUCUUGCAGGGAGAUUGCAUAGUGUAGUUAUAAAGUCAACUCAAGGUUAGUGUGUGUGUGCAUUGAUUAGAUAUCACUAUUAUUAGCACCAUCUCUAUGCAACCCGAGCUAAGGCAGAGCUAAAGGUAUAUCAUGGCUGUGUCAUGCAUGUCUGAAAUUAAACCUGUGUGUGUGUGUGUGUGUGUGUGUGUGUGUGUGUGUGUGUGUGUGUGUGUGUGAGAGAGAGAGAGAGCAGAGUAUUGGGCUUAAAGAGACGUGCUGCAGUGAUCAGCAGCUUUAAUUAGAUGGGCUCUCUUCCUAUCUGGAUCACGGUUCGCUUUUCUCUCUGAGGAUAAAAUUGCAAAUAUGCUUGGUGCAACCCCGUGAGACAUAUCAAGACCAAACAUGAUGAUACAGUGUCUCGAGUAUUAUGAACUGGAUUUCAAAGGGUUUUGAGAGACUGUAAGGUCACAAGAUACAAAACUACACAUGGGUGUGUUUAUACAGCAGGCUGCUGACUGUUCCUGUGCUUUCUUUCAUGUUAAGAUGAAAGCUAAUUCCCCUUCAGAGAGACAGUUUCACAGGUCUGAUAGAGUUUUCAAACAGCGUCUUUGGUCACAUUUAUCUAAGGAGAAAUUUCAUUCAUAUAGAAGUGUAGAAAGAUUUUUUUUUCCAGCAGGUUCACGCAGGCCACACCUGUCUUUAGCUUUGAGUGGCUCACUUUUAAACAAAUAGUUUAGUAAAUUCAAAUCCCAAAAAUCAAAGUUCACCCUUUUCUAGUGAGAGAAUAAUUCUCCUUUUAAAUCCAUGGGUAUAAUUUAAUCUGUUGAUAUAGGAGAUGAUCAAGAGCUGCGUCAUCAAGUUGGCAGUUAGAAUCUCAUGUAUCUCUGCAAGCCUGAAAGGAUUUAGUGAGUGCUGUACAUACUAAAGAUUUGUCUUUCCAUUUUUACACAACCUGCUGAUUUUUCUGGUUUGACACUGAAACUUUUUCUUUACUGCAUUUCCUGUAAUCCAGACAGAAAUAUGAAAAAUCUUUCCCCCGGUCAUUCGAACCCUGUAUUUAUUUCCCAUUUUUACAAAGAUAAAACCAUUGAAUGCUGAAACUGAUGAAAAUUAUAGAUUUUUAAAAGAAAGUAUUCUCUGACUUUUAUCGCGGUAUCAUGAUUCAUAAAUACAUCCAAACUCCAAUAUAAAAGAAAGGAGCACACAUCUGCUUUUUCUCCUACAAACUUAUUUAACUGUUGUUCAGGUCUGUGGGACCCAUUUUCAAUAAAAUUGUGCAAUUAAUUAUUUUUAUUGGCCUUGGCUAACUUUGCCUGUCUUUUCCCACACUCCCACAUAUUUCAGCUUCUGUCUCACAGAAACAAUUCUAUAUUUUCUCACACUCUGUCGCAGCUGCAAAUUGCAGAGAAAUAUGGCUCUCAAAAAUGAUCAGACCGAAUGAUCCUGUUGCCAAAGAAUGAUCGUUGUGUUGUAACCAUGGCCAACACAAAUGGUGGUUACUCCUGUGAAGAACUUCUUAUCCCUAUCCAGAAAAUGAUCCGGAUCAGGAAAUGUUCCUGGUGAACAGACUUUUAGUUCAGUGGGGCGUGAUGUGUCGUACAGGUUACUGUAGCUGUUAGGCUUUUGAUGUUUAGGCAGUCAUUAAUCUGCUCAAUUUCCAAUUAAGUAAAAGAUCAUAACAAAAAAAUAAGCAUCAAUAAUGAUGUUUUUAGCCCAUAAACAAACAAAAACAAAUUGUACAAAUUUAUUCAUAAAUGUGUUCUUCAUGUGUGGUUAUACGUAUUGGAACUGGGAUAAAUUAAACAUCUGUUAAGUGUGUUUGUAUAAAUUGUUAUGGCUGUAUUGACCCUUUUUGUAUGUGGUGGAUCCACAAACAAACUGGCCAAGCUUUUUAAAACACAACAAAAAAAGAAUGUGCUGAGUCAAAAUAGAAAACUUUCCUGUGGUCUGAUGAUAUAAACAGACCACCAAACAAAUUUUAAUAUUAGUCAAUGAUUACCAAAAUAAAUACAAAAUAA